GCGGGGCCUUGUGGGCAUGGUGAGGCGUCUAGACUUCACUCUGGCCACUGUGGGAGCCUUUGAGAAUGCAGCAAGAGCAGGACGUGGGCAUGCUUGAUUUCAGAACGUGACUUCAGUGUGGACAAUGGGUUGAGGGGGCAGAGUGCCCAGUUUGAUGGGGGAGGGGACAUUGUGGUAAGGCAGCAGAGAUGAUGGUGGCCUGAACUUGGUGGUGGCAGUGGAGAUGGGCAGGAGCAGGACGGGCCACAUCUAGGAGGUAGUGUUGACGGCAUUUGGUGGUGGACUGAGUCUGGGGCUGUAGGAGGGGAAUGUCAGAGGUCAAGGGUCAGGAAUGUCUCCCGGUUCCAUCUUGGUAGCUGAGUGUCUGGGGCACGUCCUUUGCCCUUUCCUCUCCCUGCUGUGGAGUUCACAGAUGCUCUGUCUCCUGGGACGUCCCUCGCCUGGUGACUGUGCCUCCUUGAAAAGACAGCUGUGUUGUUGUUGAUGGUGACUGAAGCCUUUCAGCCCGCUGGGAUGCUUGAGAGCUCCCAGCUUGAGGCAGAAUGAGUGAGAAGAACUGCAGAGUGGUCUUUAAAGCAGCCGCGGAUUAUUCAGAGCAAAGGCCAGUGGACAUGAGUAGCCAAGGUCCAGGGCCCAUCCCGCCCUGUCCUUCCCCGGGUGCAGGUGCACGCCACCACCCCCCUACCCCCUGCCUCUGCGCGCUGAGCUCCAGCAGCCUGGGGAGCACAGGGUGUCUUUCACACGGCCUGGAGCCACCGGGCCUCAAGCCGCCCUAGUCCUGGGCUUCUUCCAGUCCCAGCCUCCUGGAGCCUUGUCCGCCCAGAGGCCUGGCUCCCUGCCACAAGUCAAAGGCAAACCGUGUCAAUAGGUCCAGACUCCUGCUGUCACCCCCUCUACCCUACCCCUGACCCGCCUGCUGCACAGGAUUCUGCAAGAAUCGGUGGCUGCUGCUGGGCCUGCAGGCCUUGUGAAGGGCUGGAGGGCAUCAGCUGGGGCCCCGCCCAAGGGACCAACUGUGGAGCCGGAGCCCAGGCCCAAGGGACCAACUGGAGCCAGAGCCCACGUAGAGGGGGCAGGGGUGGCAUGCACAGUCCACAUGGACAGCAGUGUCAUUGCUUUAUGAUCGGACCCUCUGUGUUUAUAGACCACUGUUGCUGUCCAAAAAGGGUCCCACGCCUGGACACUGACCGGCUGGUCAGGCGUGGACAGUGCACGGCAUGGCCCUAAUUCUGCUUGCCUCCCACAGCACAAGCAGUUGCACACUGUUUCUCUGCUCACUGGCUCGGUUUUCCAAGACCUCAAAUCAGGGUCAGUGUUGAAUUUUCCCAGCAUCAUCCACGUGCGAAAAGACGGAGGUCCCAGCCCUUUUCCCCACAGAGGGACUCCCUCACCUUCCUGUUCCCCCAGCAGAAGUCCCCUCAGCUGGUCCUGGUCAGAGCUCAACCUGGCAGAACCCUUCUGGGUCCCACUGCUGUGAACAGGCUGCAGGCCUGAAGCAGGUCUGUCUUGGUGGAUUUGCUGAAGUGGGAAAGAAAGUGGAACCAGGGUUCCGGCAGACUAGGAGCCCCUGGCCGGGGGCAAAUCUGUAGGUGCCUCUCCGGCAGCCUUUGGCCUCGGAGCCAGACCACCCGGGUAAGAUCCUGGCUCUGCAACUUGCUGCCCGGGGCACAUUACUCACCCUCCCUCCCUCUCAGUUUCUGCAUCUGUAA
ensembl:lncRNA